GUUUAAUUAGUAUAUAAAGUACUUUUAAUUUCCAAUUAAAGAGAUUUUUUUUAAAAAUUAAACA
rnacentral:tRNA from 1 species